rnacentral:rRNA from 1 species
GGUUGACCUCGGAUCAGGUAGGGCUACCCGCUGAACUUAAGCAUAUCAAUAAGCGGAGGAAAAGAAACCAACAGGGAUUGCCUCAGUAACGGCGAGUGAAGCGGCAAGAGCUCAAAUUUGAAAUCUGGCUCCUUCGGGGCCCGAGUUGUAAUUUGGAGAGGAUGCUUCGGGCGUGGCCCCCAUCUAAGUGCCCUGGAACGGGCCGUCAUAGAGGGUGAGAAU